rnacentral:rRNA from 1 species
GAACCUUACCAGGUCUUGACAUCUUCUGCCAACCUAAGAGAUUAGGCGUUCCCUUCGGGGACAGAAUGACAGGUGGUGCAUGGUUGUCGUCAGCUCGUGUCGUGAGAUGUUGGGUUAAGUCCUGCAACGAGCGCAACCCUUAUUGUUAGUUGCCAGCAUUCAGUUGGGCACUCUAGCAAGACUGCCGGUGACAAACCGGAGGAAGGUGGGGAUGACGUCAAAUCAUCAUGCCCCUUAUGACCUGGGCUACACACGUGCUACAAUGGACGGUACAACGAGUCGCGAAACCGCGAGGUCAAGCUAAUCUCUUAAAGCCGUUCUCAGUUCGGAUUGUAGGCUGCAACUCGCCUACAUGAAGUUGGAAUCGCUAGUAAUCGUGGAUCAGCAUGCCACGGUGAAUACGUUCCCGGGCCUUGUACACACCGCCCGUCACACCAUGAGAGUUUGUAACACCCAAAGCCGGUGAGGUAACCUUCGGGGACCAGCCGUCUAAGGUGGGACAGAUGAUUAGGGUGAAGUCGUAACAAGGUAGCCGUAGGAGAACCUGCGGCUGGAUCACCUCCUUUCUAAGGAA